rnacentral:misc_RNA from 1 species
UGUUGGGGCCUUAGAGAUGCUCCGAGUAAUGACGGCAAUUUACCCAUAUAUUAAUAAUCAACGAACACGCCAAUUGUAAAUUUGUAUUAGCUUCCUCGAGAAAAAGAAGAAGAAACAGUUUAGAAGCUGCUACGAAAAGGAAUGUCAGAAGGCGAACACGAAUUUCAGGAAGUCAGCAUCGUUCUUCCCUACUCUCAGGACUUUGUUUUAAUUUGG